GAAGCUAGAGAACUGCACAUUCGGGUAGAGCGAAGAAGGGAUCCUAUGACUGGUGAUUAUUUUGAGAACAUUGGUGGCAUGUUGUUUAAAGAUGGGUUCUUGUAUAAAACUGUGUCGAUGAAAUCGAUUAGUGCUAUGAACAUCAAGCCAACUUUUGAUGAACUUGAGAAGUUCCGAAAACCUGGAGAGAAUGGGGAUGGUGAUAUGGUCAGUUUGUCAACCUUAUUUGAAAAUAGAAAGAAGGGCCACUUUGUGAAGGGUGAUGCUGUUAUUAUUGUCAAGGGAGAUUUGAAAAACCUUAAGGGAUGGGUUGAGAAAGUUGAUGAAGAAAAUGUUCACAUCAAGCCUGAAAUGAAGGACCUUCCAAGAACUAUUGCGGUGAAUGAAAAGGAGCUGUGCAAGUAUUUUGAACCAGGUAAUCAUGUCAAGGUUGUAUCUGGUACCCAGGAAGGUGCAACUGGUAUGGUUGUUAAGGUGGAGCAGCAUGUGCUGAUCAUUCUUUCUGAUACAACUAAGGAACAUAUUCGUGUUUUCGCCGACGAUGUUGUGGAAAGCUCUGAGGUUACUACUGGCGUGACCAAAAUUGGAGAAUAUGAGCUCCAUGA
rnacentral:misc_RNA from 1 species